AAAUUGAAGAGUUUGAUCAUGGCUCAGAUUGAACGCUGGCGGCAGGCCUAACACAUGCAAGUCGAGCGGAAACGACACUAACAAUCCUUCGGGUGCGUUAAUGGGCGUCGAGCGGCGGACGGGUGAGUAAUGCCUAGGAAAUUGCCUUGAUGUGGGGGAUAACCAUUGGAAACGAUGGCUAAUACCGCAUAAUGCCUACGGGCCAAAGAGGGGGAUCUUCGGACCUCUCGCGUCAAGAUAUGCCUAGGUGGGAUUAGCUAGUUGGUGAGGUAAUGGCUCACCAAGGCGACGAUCCCUAGCUGGUCUGAGAGGAUGAUCAGCCACACUGGAACUGAGACACGGUCCAGACUCCUACGGGAGGCAGCAGUGGGGAAUAUUGCACAAUGGGCGAAAGCCUGAUGCAGCCAUGCCGCGUGUAUGAAGAAGGCCUUCGGGUUGUAAAGUACUUUCAGUUGUGAGGAAGGGGGUAACGUUAAUAGCGUUAUCUCUUGACGUUAGCAACAGAAGAAGCACCGGCUAACUCCGUGCCAGCAGCCG
rnacentral:rRNA from 1 species